rnacentral:rRNA from 1 species
GUGGGGAAUAUUGGACAAUGGGCGAAAGCCUGAUCCAGCCAUGCCGCGUGUGUGAAGAAGGUCUUCGGAUUGUAAAGCACUUUAAGUUGGGAGGAAGGGUAGUAACCUAAUACGUUGCUACUUUGACGUUACCGACAGAAUAAGCACCGGCUAACUUCGUGCCAGCAGCCGCGGUAAUACGAAGGGUGCAAGCGUUAAUCGGAAUUACUGGGCGUAAAGCGCGCGUAGGUGGUUCAGUAAGUUGGAAGUGAAAUCCCCGGGCUCAACCUGGGAACUGCUUUCAAAACUGCUGAGCUAGAGUACGGUAGAGGGUGGUGGAAUUUCCUGUGUAGCGGUGAAAUGCGUAGAUAUAGGAAGGAACACCAGUGGCGAAGGCGACCACCCGGACUGAUACUGACUCUGAGGUGCGAAAGCGUGGGGAGCAAACAGGAUUAGAAACCCUGGUAGUCC